GAUGAACGCUGGCGGCGUGCCUAAUACAUGCAAGUCGAGCGAACGGACGAGAAGCUUGCUUCUCUGAUGUUAGCGGCGGACGGGUGAGUAACACGUGGAUAACCUACCUAUAAGACUGGGAUAACUUCGGGAAACCGUAGCUAAUACCGGAUAAUAUUUUGAACCGCAUGGUUCAAAAGUGAAAGACGGUCUUGCUGUCACUUAUAGAUGGAUCCGCGCUGCAUUAGCUAGUUGGUAAGGUAACGGCUUACCAAGGCAACGAUGCAUAGCCGACCUGAGAGGGUGAUCGGCCACACUGGAACUGAGACACGGUCCAGACUCCUACGGGAGGCAGCAGUAGGGAAUCUUCCGCAAUGGGCGAAAGCCUGACGGAGCAACGCCGCGUGAGUGAUGAAGGUCUUCGGAUCGUAAAACUCUGUUAUUAGGGAUGAACAUAUGUGCAAGUAACUGUGCACAUCUUGACGGUACCUAAUCAGAAAGCCACGGCUAACUACGUG
rnacentral:rRNA from 1 species